AAUAAUAAUUAUCAUGAAUCUUUGAUUUAUGGAAUUGGGCUUUUAUUUCUGAUAGAUCUAUGGCCUUAAAUUUACGGGCUUGUCAUUAUAAAAUCUGACCUAAAGGAGCAAUUAAACAUUCUCUCAUUAGCGGAUUUUUACAAGCUGUUAUGAUUUUUGGUUGCUGAAGCGCUUUUAUGAGUGUGAAACCAAAAUCGUAAGUUACUCUA
rnacentral:misc_RNA from 1 species